UGGGGAGUCGCCUAAUGGUAUGGCAUCGCUCUUUGACAGCGAAACAAUGUAGGUUCGAUUCCUACCUCCCCAGCCA
rnacentral:tRNA from 1 species